CGGACGUGUAGGGUGCUUACCAUGCUAGUCGCACGAUGAAGCCCUUCGGGGUGGAUUAGUGGCGAACGGGUGAGUAACACGUGGGCAAUCUGCCCUUCACUCUGGGACAAGCCCUGGAAACGGGGUCUAAUACCGGAUACCACUCCUGCCCGCAUGGGCGGGGGUUGAAAGCUCCGGCGGUGAAGGAUGAGCCCGCGGCCUAUCAGCUUGUUGGUGGGGUAAUGGCCCACCAAGGCGACGACGGGUAGCCGGCCUGAGAGGGCGACCGGCCACACUGGGACUGAGACACGGCCCAGACUCCUACGGGAGGCAGCAGUGGGGAAUAUUGCACAAUGGGCGAAAGCCUGAUGCAGCGACGCCGCGUGAGGGAUGACGGCCUUCGGGUUGUAAACCUCUUUCAGCAGGGAAGAAGCGAAAGUGACGGUACCUGCAGAAGAAGCGCCGGCUAACUACGUGCCAGCAGCCGCGGUAAUACGUAGGGCGCAAGCGUUGUCCGGAAUUAUUGGGCGUAAAGAGCUCGUAGGCGGCUUGUCACGUCGGAUGUGAAAGCCCGAGGCUUAACCUCGGGUCUGCAUUCGAUACGGGCUAGCUAGAGUGUGGUAGGGGGAGAUCGGAAUUCCUGGUGUAGCGGUGAAAUGCGCAGAUAUCAGGAGGAACACCGGUGGCGAAGGCGGAUCUCUGGGCCAUUACUGACGCUGAGGAGCGAAAGCGUGGGGAGCGAACAGGAUUAGAUACCCUGGUAGUCCACGCCGUAAACGUUGGGAACUAGGUGUUGGCGACAUUCCACGUCGUCAGUGCCGCAGCUAACGCAUUAAGUUCCCCGCCUGGGGAGUACGGCCGCAAGGCUGAAACUCAAAGGAAUUGACGGGGGCCCGCACAAACGGCGGAGCAUGUGGCUUAAUUCGACGCAACGCCGAGAACCUUACCCACGCUUGACAUAUACCCGAAAGCAUUAGAGAUAGUGCCCCCCUCGUGGUCGGUAUACAAAUGGUGCAUCGCUGUCGUCAACUCCUCUCGGGAGAUGUUGGGUUAAUUCCCGCACCGGCGCGACCCCUCUCCUUGGUUGGCGGCCGGCCCUUUCCGGGUUAAGGGGGAAUCCGGGAAAAACGGCGAGCUGCCCU
rnacentral:rRNA from 1 species